rnacentral:tRNA from 1 species
GGCUUCAUAGCUCAGUUGGUUAGAGCGUUGCACCGGUAUCAUGAGGUCACGGAUUCAAACCCCGUUGAAGUCC